UGGGGAAUUUUCCGCAAUGGGCGAAAGCCUGACGGAGCAAUGCUGCGUGGAGGUGGAAGGCCUACGGGUCGUCAACUUCUUUUCUCGGAGAAGAAACAAUGACGGUAUCUGAGGAAUAAGCAUCGGCUAACUCUGUGCCAG
rnacentral:rRNA from 1 species